UACGUAGGUGACAAGCGUUGUCCGGAUUUACUGGGCGUAAAGAGCGCGCAGGCGGUCGUUCAAGUCGCGUGUGAAAGCCCCCGGCUCAACUGGGGAGGGUCACGCGAUACUGAUCGACUCGAAGGCAGGAGAGGGUAGUGGAAUUCCCGGUGUAGCGGUGGAAUGCGUAGAGAUCGGGAAGAACAUCAGUGGCGAAGGCGGUCUGCUGGGCCGUUGCUGACGCUGAGGCGCGACAGCGUGGGGAGCAAACAGG
rnacentral:rRNA from 1 species